UACAGAGGUCCCGAGCGUUGUUCGGAUUCAUUGGGCGUAAAGGGUGCGUAGGCGGCGGGGCAAGUCUGAUGUGAAAUCCCGGGGCUCAACCCCGGAACUGCAUUGGAUACUGCCUUGCUAGAGUACUGGAGAGGGAACUGGAAUUUACGGUGUAGCAGUGAAAUGCGUAGAUAUCUGGAGGAACACCGGUGGCGAAAGCGGCUCUCUGGACCACAACUGACGCUGAGGCGCGAAAGCUAGGGGAGCAAACAGG
rnacentral:rRNA from 1 species